CCCUUAGAUGUCCGGGGCUGCACGCGCGCUACACUGACUGGCUCAGCGUGUGCCUACCCUACGCCGGCAGGCGCGGGUAACCCGUUGAACCCCAUUCGUGAUGGGGAUCGGGGAUUGCAAUUAUUCCCCAUGAACGAGGAAUUCCCAGUAAGUGCGGGUCAUAAGCUUGCGUUGAUUAAGUCCCUGCCCUUUGUACACACCGCCCGUCGCUACUACCGAUUGGAUGGUUUAGUGAGGCCCUCGGAUCGGCCCCGCCGGGGUCGGCCCACGGCCCUGGCGGAGCGCUGAGAAGACGGUCGAACUUGACUAUCUAGAGGAAGUAAAAGUCGUAAC
rnacentral:rRNA from 1 species